ensembl:snoRNA U3 Small nucleolar RNA U3
AAGACUAUACUUUCAGGGAUAGUUUCUAUAGUUCCUGACUUAAUGUGUUUCUAAAGUGUUUAGUCUCGCUAACCAUGAUAAUGAACAUCAUUGUGAUGCUUCCUUCUGAGAGAGAAGCUGGAGGUGAAUAAUGACCCUGUUCAUGUUUUACCUGUCAUUGAUGACUGAUUUUUUUGUGCUCUUGUAGAGCACUGAGGCAGGUAACAUGAACUGAGUGGU